rnacentral:rRNA from 1 species
GACGAACCGUGCAAACGUUGUUCGGAUUCACUGGGCUUAAAGGGCGCGUAGGCGGGUGGUCAAGUCAGGGGUGAAAUCUUUCAGCUCAACUGGAAAAUAGCUUCUGAUACUGGCCGUCUUGAGGGAGGUAGGGGCAUGUGGAACUUCCGGUGGAGCGGUGAAAUGCGUAGAUAUCGGAAGGAACGCCGAUGGCGAAGGCAGCUACCUGGCAUAAUACUGACGCUGAGGCGCGAAAGCGUGGGGAGCAAACAGG